ACUACAUUUCUUACAGUCUAUAAAAUUUUUUUCUUCUGGAAUCCACUUAUUAAGGGGAGCAGACCCGAAUUCAUGUAAGCACUUUCAUUGCUUAGGCUUUGCACAAGUGAUUCUGUAGGUGUUGAUUUAAUUCCUGCCAUAAGGCCAAAUACUAUGCCAACUAGUCUGUCACACAUCCUUGCAAGAGGUUCAUGAAGCUUAGUCUCUGAAAUGGGAUUUUAAUCACUUCAUGCAUGAGAGAAGUAGCUAUAGUGAUUGUAUAGCUUCUACUUGGAUCCAUAUCUGUGCAGAUAAAGAAUGGUUUACAGAUCCCAGAGAAAAUUCAAAAGAAGAAAAUGAUCAUCCAGAAGGUUCCCAGUGACUGGUUUUCAAAAGAAUCUUUGAAGAAGAUUAACAGGGUUUAUCAUUUUAGAAUAAAUGAUCCCAUGGCCAAAAUAAAAGAUGGUGACAAGUUUAACUUAUAAGAGGGAGCACUUUAAAAGAAAAUGGUUAUCUGGUGGAAUUAGAAAUCUCAAUUAGGAAUAAGUUUCUAGAUAUAAGACUGUGUAAAUAAUACUGCUGAAGACUUCUGGGCUAAUAAGACAGAAAGUGGAAUAAAAUACUAUUUACAUAGGUCACACAGUAGUGACCAUGGGAGAUACUUCAAUAAAUAUCGAUGCAUUGAAAUUUGACAUCACUAGAAAAAUAUUUGGAUACAAACCAUGAAAAAUUUCUUUCAUGCCUCUGAAAAUCAUAGUGCAACCACACCUGAGGAACACUGGUGGGUCCUGACUCCUGUACAUCAAGGAAGCUGAAAUUCAAGUUGUGAAGGACCACAUAUGGUGAGAGGGGGAUUGAUAGAAUCAAAGUUUAUAAAUUACAUGUGGGGAGGAUGACACAGGAAGAACUUGGACUUACAGGUCUGUACUAGAAUAUUAGGUUUAGAAAUAUGCACUAACAUUAAAUUCUUAUAAAACAAAAAGUUACUUCAAUAGUAUUUUAAUCCCAUUAUGUAACUUUUACUCUUAAACAUAACAGAGGGUGAAAAUGUUAAUUCAAAAAGGGAUUAUAAAUAGAUUUUUGAAUGUGUGUUUAUCCCUCACUUACACUGAAGUAAUGGAAGAGAACCACACCCUCCCUUAAAAUAUGACUUGCCUCCAAUGUCAGUACAGAAGCUUGUAUAAACAGAUAAGGCAUUCCUCUUCAAUUCAAUCAAUGUUCCUGUAUUGAAUAUUUAGCUUUAAAGAUAGAAGGUUUUUAAGCUGACAAAAUUAACAGAUUCUAUGAACUGAAUGUAUUUCUUUUUUGUUCUGGAUACACAGCAAAACUGCAUUUCCCAGCCUCCCUUUCAAUUAAGAAUUGCAUGAGACUGAAUAUUAGCCACUGAAAUGUAAGUGAAAUGGAUGUAUUUGUUGUUUUCAUAUUAAGAUUCUGAAAAGGGGGAAUGCCUGUCCCCUUUUUUUUCCUCUUUCCAUUCAAUGGAUAUUAUUGAUGAUAAGAUUUUAGGAGAUGGCAGAAUCACAUGGUAAAAGGAACCUGAACUAGUCCACUUCUAAUUUUAGAUUUUAGAAAAUCAAACAAGAUCUUCUGUAAUUUAGGAGCUCCAUUUUUAUCCAUCCCAGUUACUGAGAUUAUAUUUUGCUGGAAUAGUGUCAUAUGUUGUAAGUGCUCAGUGGAUUUAUGAAAGAGAAAGAACUUCUCUUAUCUCUUCUGCCUUGUCCUGUAUAGACUCACUGUGAAAUGAAGUUCAGUAAACAUUGGCUUAUCUUUAUAAAUCCGUGAUUUAUGUCUUGCUUCUUUUCAAUCAGCCAGAUUGCUAGUUUUAGAAAGAAUGUACUCACUUACUAGGAAGAUAAGAACAUAAAACAGAACUAAAACAGGAAAAAUCUUUCUGAGGCAUUGUGAGUGUAAGCAACUGUAUCCUCCAAAAGGCAUGGUAAUCUGAGAGAGAGUUCACCUUCUCGGGAAGCCUGAGUAGAAUACAAAGAGAAAACCUCAAAUUCUAAUUUAUGCCUUUGGAAUGUAGUGCAAAGAGAAACUCCACAUGUUUGGAAAGCUGGCGAUUUAGCUGAAAAACACAAAGGUUCUACUAAGUUCUCACCAAUUCUCAGAUCCCAAUUCCUGCUGAAAGGAAAUCUUCAUUUAAAAUAUUUGAAGCAAGUGGUAAAACUAAACUAAAUCAGCACAGCUCAUCUCCACAUCAACCACAGAUUAGAUUGAUGCAGCUUCCCAGUCUAAGAGCCUGACAAGGAAUAGGCACACCCUUUUGUGGAGGUAAUUAUUAUUUAUUUUCACACCUACUGUUCUUUUAUAGAAAAUAUCCAGCAUGCAGCAAGAAAUUAUAAGACCUUCAAGGAGCAGAGACAUUUGAUUUGAUUCAGAGAGAAGUCAAUAGAAGUGAACUCAGAGAUUGCCCAGAUAUUGUAGUUAUCAGAAGUAGAUUAACUAUGAUAAAUUGCUGAAGGAGGUAGUAAAAAGGGUGGAAAACAUGCAUGAAAAGAUGGGGAAUUUCAGCAAAUACAUGUAAACUAUGGGAAACAAAAAGAAAAUUCUAGAGUUGAAUAUGAUAUGACUACAUAGGAAAUGAUUUGAUAAACUUGGAAGACAGGACAAUUGAAAAUAAAAAACUGAAAAUCAAAGAGAAAAGGGAGUGAAAAUAAAAAGGACAGAGUAUUUGAGUUUUGAAGGCAAAAUCAAAUGGCCUUGCAUCUUGUAAUGGAGUUUCACAAGGUGAAGAAAAAGAGAAUGGCAUGGAAGAAAUGUUUGAAGAGAUAUUGACAGAGAACAUAUCCACAAUUGAUGGAAAUUAACACAAAAUCAAAAAAGUGAGACUUUGGAAAUGAUUAAAAUUGAUAAACACCUAGCAGGAUUAAUAUGCUGAGCUGAAUAGUAUUCUCUCAAAAGCCAUGUCCAUCCAGAACUUUAGAAUGUGACCUUAUUUGGAAGUAGGGUUAUUGUAGAUAUACUUAGUUAUGACAUCAUACUAUAUCAUAUUAAAUCCAAUGAUUUAGUGUCCUUAUAAGAAGACCAUAAAGAGACACAGAAACAGAAGGCCAAGUGAAGAUAAGGCAGGGAUUGGACUAAUGCAUCCUCACGCCAAAGAUGCUAGCCACCAGAAACUAGUAAGAGGUGAGGAGCAAUCCUCUCCUACAGCCUUUAAAAGGCUCCUCAAUUUUCAAAGGGAAAUGUGACAGAGUACAUUUCUAUUAUUUUCAAGCCACUCCGUUUAUGGUUAUUUGUUAUAAUAGCUUAGGAAACAAAAAAACUGAUCAAGUAAAAGAGAAAACAGAUUAGUAAUAUCAAGAAUGAAAAGUGAGACAUCAAUACAGAACAUGUUGACAUUAAAGAUAAUAAGAGCAUGUAAUGGACAACUUUAUACCAAUAAAUUCAACAACUAAGAUGAAAUGGACAUAUGCCUUUUACUUUUUUUGUUGUUGAUUUUUAUUUUUUAUUUAAAUUCAAGUUAGUUAACAUACAGUGUAGUCUUGGCUUCAGG
rnacentral:lncRNA from 1 species